rnacentral:tRNA from 1 species
GCCCCGGCAGCUUAAUUGGAUAAAGCUUUUCUCUCACAAAAAAAUGAUGCGGGUUCGAAUCCCGCCUGGGGCG